GGUCAGAUAGCUCAGUAGGUAGAGCGAUGGUUUGAAGUACCAUGCAGCGGCGGUUCGAUCCCGUCUCUGACCACCA
rnacentral:tRNA from 1 species